CCCACCCCCACAGGACAGGGCUUUGGCCCGCCAUCUUGCCAAGGACGGCUCCACACAUUUUUGCACACCGCUGCUGCAUUUCAGUCGUCCGGGUUGCCUGGACAGCGACUUCCGCGCGGACGCCGAAAGAAAAGAGAAGCCGCGCGCAGAACUCACUGCGCGUACACAGACACAAGGACACACACAAACCUGGCCCAUUUUGAAAUGGGCCUCUUCUUUCGCCGAUCUCCGACGGCUCUGAAGAAGGGCAAGGUGGUGCUCUUCGGCUGCAGCAAUGCGGUAGGCCAGCCGCUGUCGCUCCUACUCAAGAUGAACCCGCACGUAGAGGAGCUUGUGUGCUGCAACACCGCCGCUGACGGCGACGUGCCAGGCUCCGGCAUCGCCGCAGACCUCUCUCACAUAGACACAUUGCCGAAAGUGCAUUACGCUACCGACGAGGGGCAGUGGCCGGCGUUGCUGCGCGAUGCACAGCUUAUCCUUCUCUGCUUCGGCAGCAGCUUCGACCUUCUACGCCAAGACAGAGACAUAGCCCUCAAAGCAGCGGCUCCGACGAUGCGCCGCGUCAUGGCUGCCGUCGCGUCCUCUGACACAACGGGAAACGUGGCUGUCGUGUCGAGUCCUGUGAACGCCCUUACCCCGCUCUGCGCAGAGCUUCUGAAGGCGUCUGGAAAGUUUGACCCCCGAAAGCUGUUCGGCGUUACCACGCUCGACGUGAUACGGACUCGGAAGCUGGUGGCAGGGGCGCUGCACAUGAACCCAUACGACGUGAACGUGCCCGUUGUGGGAGGGCGCGGCGGCGUGACGGCGUGCCCGCUGAUUGCCCAGACUGGACUUCGUAUCCCUCUUGAGGACAUCGUUCGCAUAUCCGGCGAGGUGCAGAGCUACGGGGUACCUUUUGAGGCCGCAGCGGGUGCGGGCUCGCACGACGCAUUGAGCAUGGAGGUUGCACCGCCGGUGGCUCUCGGCCUCGCUUACGCCGCCUGCGACUUCUCCACGUCGCUGCUCAAGGCGCUUCGCGGCGAUGUCGGAAUCGUCGAGUGUGCUCUCGUGGAGUCCACGAUAAGGUCCGAGACGCCGUUCUUCAGCUCACGAGUGGAGUUGGGCCGUGAGGGUGUACAGCGCAUUUUUCCUAUGGGCGCACUGACGUCCUAUGAGCACGAUCUCAUUGAGGCAGCAGUGCCCGAGUUGAUGAGGGAUGUGCAGGCAGGGAUCGAGGCUUCCACGAAGUUUUGACAUCCCUGAGUGUGUCUGCCGAAGAAACGGCGGUGGACGCGAGAGGACGAGUGGGGCUCGGUAGGCGGUUGUAUCCGUCUGUUGUGAGGUCUUCUCCACCCCCGCUGUCCCCGCUCGAAGCCCACGAUCGCCGUUGAGUGUGUAUGCCUCUCUUUGAUUGUAUUGGUUCCUUUUCACAAGCCUCACAGAGCGCGCACGACCGAAGGGAACAGGGCGGAGUGUUGCUGUUCUUAAAUCCUUCAUAGAGAAGCGCCGUUGCUGCGUGCCCGACGUGGUUUCUCUGACAAACACG
rnacentral:misc_RNA from 1 species